UACGUAGGGUGCAAGCGUUGUCCGGAAUUAUUGGGCGUAAAGAGCUCGUAGGCGGUUUGUCGCGUCUGCUGUGAAAGUCCGAGGCUCAACCUCGGAUCUGCAGUGGGUACGGGCAGACUAGAGUGUGGUAGGGGAGACUGGAAUUCCUGGUGUAGCGGUGGAAUGCGCAGAUAUCAGGAGGAACACCGAUGGCGAAGGCAGAUCUCUGGGCCGUUACUGACGCUGAGGAGCGAAAGCGUGGGGAGCGAACAGG
rnacentral:rRNA from 1 species